CACGAGGGUGCGGUGCAGGGUUGUCCAGAGCAGGUCCUGUCGGCUCCCGCCCCGCCUCACCGCCCAGGCUUCCUGCUGCCCAAUCAGGGCGCGGCUCGGGCGUGAUCUGCGACCAAUCAGGAACGGCUGGAACGGUGCCGGGAGUCCGCGGGCGCAGAGCAAGCUCCGACUCCCGAGCCGGCCGCGGGGCUGCCAGGAGCGCGGCUAGAGCAGCGCAGCGGACGGGGAGCCUCGGACCAGCCCAGCUCGCUCUGCCGCGGCGACCUUCCAGCCGACGCUCGGGAAACAGCGGGCCGCGUCUCAGAUUUCUGCUUGGCAGAUUAAUCAAAGGCAAGAGGCUAAUCUGUCUACGUUCAGAGUGCCACCCCCGACAAGACCCCCAUAACAGACCCUGGGCUCCAAUCCACUGCACUACCAGCUCCCCACCCCACCCCAGACAUCGCUCUGGGGGCUGCCCGAGGCCAGCAGUGUGAAGAUGACCAGUGCCUUCCUAGCAUGACGACCUUGGACCAUGUGAUCGCGACCCACCAGUCAGAGUGGGUCUCCUUCAGUGAGGAGCCGCUCUUUCCUGCCCCUUCUGAGGGGAGCACUGAAGAGCACCUGCCAGGACCGUCAUCUUCCUCAGACCAGUCCGAGAGCUCGUCUGGGGAGAACCAGGUGGGAGAUGGAGGCUCUCAGGACCUUUCCCACUCAGAGCACGAUGACUCUUCUGAAAAGACAGGCCUCAUCUCUGAGGCAGCCUCCCCUCCUGGGAGCCCUGAGCAGCCCUCCCCUGACCUGGCCUCAGCCAUCAGCAGCUGGGUCCAGUUUGAAGACGACACCCCCUGGGCCAGCACAUCACCACCUCAUAAAGAAGCAGGUGGGACAGCCACAUCAUUGACCUUGCCCUGCUGGACGUGCCCUUCCUUCGACUCCCUUGGGAGAUGCCCUCUGCCCUCUGAGAACAGCUGGACCACUCAUUCUGAAGACACCAGUAGUCCUAGUUUUGGGCCCUCGUACACAGACCUGCAGCUCGUCAGUGCUGAGGAGCAGAUGAGUGGCCCGGCUUCUGGGGCUGACUCGACUGGUAAGAUGAAGCCCCAUGCCAGAGGGCUCUGCAAAUCACUUUUGCUGACCUGUUGCCACUCCUCAAAUCUCUGCAGCCAGCUUUGUUUGCAGAAUGAAUUCAGGAGCGGUCAUCCAGUCAAAAGGUAGAAUUCUGAGUGGCUCAAAAUUGCACUGGGGGAAAAACAUGCACACAGAUUGCCUGGUUGGUUGGCAGACUAUUAAUACGGGAAACCAUCUGACAGUAUAUCUUCAGGUGUUGUUUUCUGACUGUUCUAUACAGGUGCUGUUUCCUGUCAAUUUAUUUUCUCCUUGGAUAACUCAACUAUGUGUAAUAUGCACAAGGCUGAAUCUUUCAUCCUACCACCCACGCACCUUCCCUGUUCAGCAAGAGGGUGGUUAGAGUUAAGCAGAGAAAAAGUAAAUGUUAUGUGAAGUGGAAUGAGAAUCAGGAUGCAGCCACUGUGUCCAGAGUACAGAUCAUUUUGCAGCUCUGUUUAUCCUGUUGUGCCUCGAUUGAGUUAUUCACCAGUCUGUAACAUCCCAUGUUCUCAUUUGUUACACUUCCGGUAGGUGUAGGAUGGAAUGCUGGCUGGCUUUGCAGAUAGAAUGUGGGCCUGUCAACAAGCACUCUAUUAUGGAUUGAGUUUAGGAUGGCUUUGGAAAGAUGUUGCAUGGUCCUAGUGUUUUAGUUAUUUGGCCCAGGGGAUUGUUUUCCUUUGAAAGCGAUGAGUUACUAAUCAUUUCCCUGUGGAUGAAUUUACCCAGUGUGUCUAACAAGAUUUGUUUUUUCCUUCUCAAAAAUGGUUAGGAAUUUGUCUCUGGAUUGUUUCUCAAAUUUUGUUAACAUUUGCCCUCAUGCUGUGUGCUCCUGGGGGGGUUCUACAAAUAGAAAGAAAGAGAUUCUUCUUGAAGACUAAAGGGUUCAGACAGGAUUUGGUGUGGUAUUUAAUAAUAUUGCAAGGAAUCCUAGUUUAUGAUGGCCUCUCUCUCUUUUUACAAGCCACAGUUCUUUAUAGCAUUUUGUUUUCAUCAACCCUCUCAAUUUUUAUUGAUUCUCUGUAACUGAUGACCUUGGUUAUCAGCUGAAAUAUGCCUCUAUGACAUCCCCACCAUGGGGAGCAAUUCAUGGAAGGGAAGUAAGAAGCUGAGGCAGUGAGGAACAGAGGCUGUGCUUGCCUCCCCUUCACCCCUCCUGGCUCAACCUCCUUGCCAAGUGUUCCCGUGGAGGAGGCUUAUCAUGUACUGGCUCAGAGCACACAGACACUGGAGUCAGGCUGCUCAGGUUCAGACCCUUGGUCUGCCACCAACUCCCAGCUGUGUGACCUUGGGCAAGAUUCCUUUUUUUUUUUUUUUUUUUUUGCUGGUUAGGGCCGCAUCCAUGGCACAUGAAAGCUCCCAGGCUAGGGGUCGAGUCACAGGUGCUGCCAGCCUAUACCACAGCCACAGCAAUGCAGGAUCUAAGCCACAUUUGUGACCUACACCACAGCUUCUGGCAACACCGGAUCCUCAACCCACUGAGUGAGGCCAGGGAUUGAACCUGCCACCUCCUUGUUCCUAGUCAGAUUCAUUUGCACUACACCACAAGGGGAACUCCCAUGGACAGGAUUCUUAACAUCUUUAAGAUUCAGUUUCCCCAUCUGAAGAAUGGCCAUAGUAAUAGCACCUUAUUACACACUCUGAAUGAGACAGUUUAUGUAGAACAGCUUACGUAACGCCUGGCACAGAGUAAGUGGUCAAGGAUGUGAUUUCUUCCUUCUGCUCCAGGGUUCUUAGUGCUUUGGAGAAGUGGAGGUGGGCUCCUCACUGUAGGAAAAGUCAAGAUCUCUAGGCUUAAGCUGGUUUUUUUGGUGGCCUCUCUAAAGUUUGGUAAAAAUUGCUUUAAUUCCUAAAGGUUCUAACAAAGAAAAUCAGAGUCAUAAGCAGAACUAGACAUUAUUAAUCAUCUCCAAAGCAUGUAAUUUUUAGUAUCUCCCUUUUCACUGAGCAGGCCUCCUCACCUGUUGUUUUUGGUCCUGGCAGGAAGCAGGUGGUGGCCUCAGAGGAGUUUACCUGAAGAGAGUUUAGUGAAGGGACAGAGGCAGCAAGAGCUAGAAUCAUGCAGGAGGGGCUGCCCCAUGGGUGGUAUGACUAUAGAAGAAAUGGCACGACCACCAGAGACUUGGUGAAGGGGGCGGGGAGGUAAAUACCCAGAUCUUUGUGCUGGCACUUCCCAAGUCAGCAGAUCCCACCAGAAGUCAAAGGGGACCGAACCCUAGUGAGGCAGCCCACAAAGAUCAACUACCAGGCCACAGAACAGGUGUAGGAGGGUGGAGAAUGGCUUUGGAGGGAGAAGUGGUGGUGAAGCAAAUGGAGAAUAGCCAACACACUUUCGUCCCCGUAGGAGGUAAAUGACCUAUAGGCUGAGGUCACUCCAGAGAUGCAAAUGCAAAACCAGGACCAGAAAAUGAUGAACGAUGCUCUUGCUUCUCUCCUUCAUCAGGAAGUGGUUUCUGUGGCGGCAGGGAAGCUCGAGGUGUGGCCUUUUGGCGACCGUCCUCUUUUGCAGAAAUGGUAAUACUCAUAGCCAGGACUUACUGAGUGUGCUGCGCGCCAGAUGUGGAUUCUCUCUGCUCUUACAAGAAUCCUGCAGGCAGGCGUCAUUCUCAGAGAGGUAUAAAGGAGGUGUAUAUAUAUCAGAGCUUGGGGAAGAAGCUCAUGUUUCCUUAGCAGAUAUGAGUUCUUACAGAUAUCUGCUGUGGGCCCACAGUACUGUGUUUCAUAAACAAGUUUCUGGACACUGCAUUUUGAAAAGAAAUAUCCUGAUUCUUUGGCCUUCAGGCAAGGGCCCAGACUGGCCCAGGUGCUGGCAGUGUCUCCACCUGCUUAUGAUGGAGUAAUCUGCUUUUGCCUCACACCUCCACUCCCUUUCCAGGCCCAGAGAUGGGAACUGGUGUGCCUCCAGGGCCCUGGAAGUUGAGAGGCAAUGAGGCGAGUGGCUUAGAGGGCAGUUCCCCAGGCCGUGUGGACAGUGUCCUGAUAUAGCCCCUGCUAUGGGAACCCCAUGAGGCUCUUCCAGAACAUCCUGACCUGGGCCAUCCUGACCUUUGAAAAGCCUAUACCCCACCCUGGGUCCCAGGUUAGAAGAAGGAUAAGGAAAACUAAGGUUAGGAGAAUGACCAAGUAUUUCUAAACCUGUGGCACUCACACAUGUGCCCCAGAAAUGAGGAAUUUACAAAUGCUUUCAGUUGAGCUAUUGAGAGCUUCAGAGAAACCGAGGCAUACUGGAAAACCCCCCAGCCAGCUGAUUACUGUCCUCUGCCCAGUACCAGGCCUAGGGCAGUGGACAGCCUCCGUGAGAGCCCUAUUUCAAGGCUGAAUGGGUCACUCAGGAUCAACUGAAUGCCCCUGAGGCUGUGGAGCAGAUUCUCACCAACCUCUGUCUCUUCUCUCUUGAGCUGCCCUUCCUCAUCUGUGAAAUGAGGCUGGGCGUCCCUGUGCAGGCAGGGCAAGGUGUGUGCCAAGGUGCUUCAUAUGGGGCAAGGUGCUGUAGGAGUAAAAAAAACUCCUAAUGUGGUAGCUCUGUGCCUGAUUUCCCUUUGCUAUGGGAAAUGAGGAUAAUUAUUGCCUACUCUGUUAUUGCCCCAAAGAGGACUGUAAACUGCAUGAGUGGCAGUGUAAGAUCUAAGAGGGGCUUUGCAGUUCCCAGCAGUGAGCCCAUAGGUGAGUGCAGAGAGGCACUGUGGGAGUUGGGGGUUCAGUAUCUUUGGUUCCUUGCUGAGGGCUUGGGAGUCCUUUUGAGGAACUACUCUGGGGGCACUUCUGCCAUUUAUCUGCCCACUCACGACCCCCAUGCCUUUCAGCCUUGCAGAGGGAGGUGGAGGGUGGAGAGAAGUUGCAGACUGAAGCUUCCCACGGGAGCUCCCUCUCCCCAGCAGCCAGGCUCUUCCUGGCAGCACAGGGAGUGAGGAUGCGGCGGGGGCAGAUGCUCCAUGAUUCAUCUCCUGUGUGGAGCAGGGUUAUGGUGGCCCAGACCUGUCCUGUUUACCUUGGCUCUGUUGCUCUGUACCUGGCCACAGCCAGCCAUGCUUCCCUGUCCUCUGUGACAGGAGUUCUGCAGGGGGUUGGCAGUCCCCAGGGCCAUCCUGAUUCCCAGUAUAAUUGUGGCGGGAAAGACUCUGUGAUCAGCCUACACUUUCUUCUCAUUUUCUCACCAAGGGGAUAAUUAGGAGGAGGAAGACAAACAAAUCCCCUCACCUUGGUUAAAUCACAGGGUGUGGGCAGAGCUGGAGAGCAGUGUUGAUGUCUGCUCUGGGAUUCGCUUUCCAGUGCAGAUGCAGAAGUGGGAAUUGGCAAGAUCUCAAAUCACAACACCCCUGUCUCCCCAGGGUCCCCUUUUCCUAGAUGGUAGGCAUACCCUGUUGUCUUCACCUGUCAGAGCAGCUUUGUAAUGCCACUAGUUUUACCUGAGUUGUUAAACAGGAUUGGAGGAAUAAAAAUCAGCCUUCUGCCUUGGAAGUCCAGGGAAGAGAAAACACGGAAAUGUUUGCAGCAGCACACGCUGCUGUUGAGUAGCAGGCCUCCGUUUUGGUUUUCUUUUAUACACAAGAAAAGUGGAGAUUUAAGUGUGGGAUUAAAAUGCUCAGGCACAUUUGCUAACUGAGGAAUGUCAAGACUGGGUGAAGCACGUAGCAGGUGUUUAAUGAUUGUUAUAUGGAUUCUUGAAUGAAAGAAAUGAGUUUGCAUGUGGUGAAAGCCGUCUGCAUUCCAGACAUCUGUAUCCCAUUGGGGUUUAAGAGUCCAGCAUUUCUCCCAAGUGUGUCCCAUGCCCCAGCCUAAGAAAAGCCAGGAUGCUGGGGAUCAGCAUGUUAGGUGAUGCCGUGCCACCUUUGUUGGAAAUCCAUAACAUGUGUUAGCUUGUUAAAGAUUUUGAAAAGUCCUAGAACUGUAUUUAUGUAUGUAUCUGUGUGUAUAUAUAUAGUGUAUAUUUAUAUGUGUUUAUAUAUAUUCCCAUAUAUAAAUAAAUUUAGUUUUUUAUCAACCCAUAGUGCCUAUCUGUUUACCUGGUCAGAUCUCAGGUUACAUACAUAAAUUAGCAAAUUUGAAUUGGAAAUACAUGCCGUCACUAAAAUGUUGGGAAAUGAGAGAAACAAAUAUUUUGACAAACUUACCUGGAUUUACAAAGGUAGCUCUAUAUUUUGUCUCAUGCUCAGCUAUACCUCUUGGCCUUUUUUCCUUUUUUAAAUUCUAAUUCAACAGACUCAGGACUGCAUUUUGCCAAAGAUUCUUUGUGUUUAAACCCUCGGUGGGCUUUAAAACAAAUGUAAACCAGAUGUUCUUGAUUUAUUUGCAUUUAAUUCAUCAUAAUGGACUUCUGCCAGAGCAGUAGGAUUGCCCCAGGGAUGUUGGACUCAUUUUUUUUUUUUUUUUUUUUUUUUUUUUUUUCUCAGCAACAAGUGUUUAUGAUGAGUAGAAGGCCAUGGACUCCAGAGCUCAAUUUCUGUGACAAGAACUUUAUCGAUGCUCAGAAAGUUUCUGUUGUCCUUAUUGGUUAAGGAUAGUAUGAAAACAUCACCAGGGUUUCGUGCCUCUUUACAAGAUGUAACACGUCUCUUUCUGCUGCUUGUUUUGUCCUAAUCCUGCUGCAGCUGGUAGAACACUAGACCAGACUCAGGGGCCCCCAGAUUCUCAGUAAACAGUAAUUAUCAUAGUGCAUGAUGGGCUUACAGGGGAUUCUUGUUGUUCCUAAGGCAUAUUUGUAUUCUAUGAUCUUUUUUUCACCUUGAAUAUAUUUUGUUUGGAAGGCAAAAUAAGUUAACUUAUUUAAAAAUUAUUUUCCUAGCUAAAAAUUUUAGUGAUAACUUGUGUUCUUCCAGAAUAAUUGUCUCAAAAUUGAAGAACAAGAACAUAUUUUUUAAAUGAGUUAUAGCUCUUAUAACAAAUAUAGAUUUGGCCUCACUUCUGCUCUUAGGAUGCCCCAGGAUCCUUAAUAUUCUUGUCUCCAUCGAGUUGUAUAUUUUGGAUUUUAUUUUAUUUUAUUUUUAUCUUUCUGUCCUUUGAAGGCCACACCAGCAGCACAUGGAGGUUCCCAGGCUAGGGGUCUAAUCGGAGCUGUCGCUGCUGACCUACACCAGAGCCACAGCAAUGCCAGAUCCGAGCUGUGUCUGAGACCUACACCACAGCUCAUAGCAAUACCGGAUCGUUAACACACUGAGCGAGGCCAGGGAUCGAACCUGCAACCUCAUGGUUCCUAGUUGGAUUAGUUUCCGCUGUGCCACAACGGGAACUCCCAUUUUGGAUUUUUAAAAUCAACGUUUUAAAACUCUAAUGAGAAGUUUUCUUUGAAACCUUCUCCAGAGCGGUUCAAAAGUUUCUCAGAAACACAGAUGUUUAUUGAGUAAAACUGGUAUUUUACCAGUCACUGCAAGUACAAAAAAGAGUAAGAUAUAUGACAUCUGCCUAUGAAGAAUGGAUAAUCUGCAAACAAAUUUUUUGCUGUCAAAAGACUUUUUAUAUAUAACUUAAAAAAUAAUUUUUAUCUAUAGAUCGUCUACUAUGUUCCAGCAAUACGUUACAUGUACACCCACAUACAUUAAAAGUAGAUAUUACUAUAUAUCAUAUAUAUGUGUAUUUCAUUUUAGAGAUGCAGAAACACAGCUAGAGAUGAAAUGAUUUGACUAAAGCAGCACAACUAUAAAGGGUAGUGUUGGGAUUCAAUCCAAGUCUUUCCUCAGUUCACCAACCUGGGGCCUGUUAAUGAGAGCUGGUUUGUGAACUCAGUGAGUUGUGAGAAGCAGUUCUCAAGAGCCUUCUGGGAGUUCCUCCGCUGGUUCAGGGGUAAUGAACCUGACUAGGAUCCCUGAGGAUGAGGGUUAGAUCCCUGGCCUCACUCAGUGGGUGUUGUCAUGAGCUGCUCAGUGUAGGUCACAGACAAAGCUCAAAUCUGGCAUUUCUAUGGCUGUGGCUGUGGUGUAGGCUGGCAGCUGCAGCUCUGAUUCAGCCCCUAGACUGGGAACUUAUAUGUGCCGUGGGUGUGGGCCUAAAAAGACAAAAACAAAACAAACAAACAAAAAAACCCCCA
ensembl:lncRNA